AGUGCAACUGUGAAUUACACUGGAAGUAGAGUGCUAGCUGCUUUUCCAAGAGAUUCAUUCCUGCUCUCUAAUGGCUUGUUUACCUGUGGGGUUGGCUAUAUGAGGCUGAAAAUCCUCUGACGAAAAGAUAAUGGUUUCAGAUCCAUCUGUAUGAGGAGGACCUGUGUGACACCUGACACACAAUUCCAUGAGAAGUCUUUACUACUGCAAGCCUGAAAAUGAGCUCAACUCAGCAGUGAGGUCGCAGACCUUUGAUCUCUCUUGAGGAGUAUCACCCCUUUCUUGGGACUCAAGUUGGUGUGUGAGCAAAGGUAA